rnacentral:rRNA from 1 species
UGGGUGGUACAACGAGUCGCCAACCCGCGAGGGUGCGCUAAUCUCUUAAAACCAUUCUCAGUUCGGAUUGCAGGCUGCAACUCGCCUGCAUGAAGUCGGAAUCGCUAGUAAUCGCGGAUCAGCACGCCGCGGUGAAUACGUUCCCGGGCCUUGUACACACCGCCCGUCACACCACGGAAGUUGGGAGUACCCAAAGUAGGUUGCCUAACCGCAAGGAGGGCGCUUCCUAAGGUAAGACCGAUGACUGGGGUGAAGUCGUAACAAGGUAAC